UUUUUUGAGAGUUUGAUCCUGGCUCAGGAUUAACGCUAGCGGUAUGCCUAAUACAUGCAAGUCAAACGGCCCGCAAGGGCAGUGGCAAACGGGUGAGUAAUACGUAUCUAACCUACCCUUUAGAGAAGAACAACUGAUCGAAAGAUUAGCUAAUACUUCAUAGGAAAUUGUUUCGCAUGAAAUAAUUUUUAAAGUUCCGUCUGGAACGCUUUAGGAUGGGGGUGCGGUUUAUCAGAUAGUUGGUGAGGUAAUGGCUCACCAAGUCGAUGACGAAUAGCUAUGCUGAGAGGUAGAAUAGCCACAAUGGAACUGAGAAACGGUCCAUACUCCUACGGGAGGCAGCAGUAGGGAAUUUUUCACAAUGGGCGAAAGCCUGAUGGAGCAAUACCGCGUGGAUGAUGAAGGUCUUCGGAUCGUAAAAUCCUUUUAUUAAAGACGAACGACCUUACUAGGAAAUGAGUAAGGAGUGACUGUAUUUUUUGAAUAAGUAACGGCUAACUUCGUGCCAGCAGCCGCGGUAAUACGAAGGUUACAAGCGUUAUCCAGAUUUACUGGGCGUAAAGCGAUGCGCAGGCGGACUAAAAAGUUUGGUGUUAAAUGCUGAUGCUCAACAUCAGUUUGCAUUGAAAACUGUUAGUCUAGAGUAUGAUAGGAAGUUUCGGAACUCCAUGUGGAGCGGUGGAAUGCGUAGAUAUAUGGAAGAACACCAGUGGCGAAAGCGGAAACUUAGGUCAUUACUGACGCUUAGGCUCGAAAGUGUGGGGAGCAAAUAGGAUUAGAUACCCUAGUAGUCCACACUGUAAACGAUGAUGAUUAGCUGUGGACAUUUUAAUGUUCGUGGCAAAGCUAACGCGUUAAAUCAUCCGCCUGAGAAGUAUAUUCGCAAGAAUGAAACUUAAACGGAAUUGACGGGGACCCGCACAAGUGGUGGAGUAUGUUGUUUAAUUCGACGUCACACGCAGAACCUUACCAGGGUUUGACAUGUUCGGCAAUGUUAUAGAAAUAUAACGGAGGUUAACCGAAUCACAGGUGGUGCAUGGUUGUCGUCAGCUCGUGUCGUGAGAUGUUGGGUUAAGUCCCGCAACGAGCGCAACCCUUAUCUUUAGUUAUCUUAUCUAGAGAGACUGCCAGCGUAAGCUGGAGGAAGGUGGGGAUGACGCCAAAUCCUCAUGCCCCUUAUACCCUGGGCUACAAACGUACUACAAUGGCCGAUACAAACUGUUGCCAAACCGUAAGGUGGAGCUAAUCAGAAAAAGUCGGUCUCAGUUCAGAUUGAGGGCUGCAAUUCGCCCUCAUGAAGUUGGAAUCACUAGUAAUCGCGUAUCAGACAUGUCGCGGUGAAUGCGUUCUCGGGUCUUGUACACACCGCCCGUCGCACUAUGGGAGUUGUUAAUGCCUAAUAACGUUAUUGCUAACCGCAAGGAAGCAAGCGAUUAGGGUAGGAACGAUGACUGGAGUUAAGUCGUAACAAGGUACCCCUACGAGAACGUGGGGGUGGAUCACCUCCUUU
rnacentral:rRNA from 1 species